CAAUCUCUCAUUUCAUCUUCUCGAGAGAAGAUUGGAUAACUGAUCUGUGGUUUCAUGUGUUCUAAACUCCAGCUUUCUAAAUUUGCAUCAUGGCAGACUUUAUAUGAGAGGUCAUGUCCUUUCAAAAAGUCUACAAGGUCCCUUGUUUACUAACCUGUUGGCUGCUACCCUUGAAUCUCCCUUUUUACUUUCUUAAGCGGGCCAUCUUUAUUUGAGGGUAAUCCUUCGCUACUUUUCACGGACUUCAUCCACUGGUGAAAACCGACG